rnacentral:tRNA from 1 species
GCCGGUGUAGCUGAGGGGUUUAGCCAUGCAUUCGUAAUGCAUAGACGGCAGUUCGAAUCUGCCCACCGGCU